rnacentral:lncRNA from 1 species
GUUCAAGAGGUGGAUUUUGUUGUUGUGCAGGUGGUGGUGUUUGAGGUUGUUUAGAUGUAGCUGGAUUUGGAUGUUCAGGAGGUGGGGAAGUGACUUCUGGUUCAGGUUCAGAGUGUGAUCGAUGUUGAGAGGCCAGAGCACGGGCUUGUAGUUGAGCCAGAGUGGGGGAUUGGGGAUCAUAUGGUUCGUUGUCGGAGGAGAGUACGUAGUAUGGUG